rnacentral:rRNA from 1 species
AGAGUUUGAUCCUGGCUCAAGAUGAACGCUGGCGGCGUGCCUAAUACAUGCAAGUCGAACGAGGUAGCAAUACCGAGUGGCGAACGGGUGAGUAACACGUAGGUAACCUGCACCUACAGUUCUAGGAUACCCUGGCGAAAGCUAGGCUAAUACCAAAUAAUUGGCUCGGAGGCAUCUCUGAGCUCUAAAAGGGGCCUUUAAAGCCCCGCUGAAGGAUGGACCUGCGGCGCAUUAGCUAGUUGGUGAGAUAACAGCCCACCAAGGCGAGGAUGCGUAGCCGAUCUGAGAGGAUGAGCGGCCACACUGGAACUGAGACACGGUCCAGACUCCUACGGGAGGCAGCAGUAGGGAGUUUUCGGCAAUGGGGGAAACCCUGACCGAGCAACGCCGCGUGAAUGAUGAAGGUCUUCGGAUUGUAAACUUCUUUUAUGAGGGACGAAGGACGUGACGGUACCUCAUGAAUAAGCCACGGCUAACUACGUGCCAGCAGCCGCGGUAAUACGUAGGUGGCGAGCGUUAUCCGGAUUUACUGGGUGUAAAGGACGCGUAGGCGGGGAUGCAAGUCAGAUGUGAAAUCUAUGGGCUUAACCCAUAAACUGCAUUUGAAACUGUAUCUCUUGAGUGCUGGAGAGGUAGAUGGAAUUCCUUGUGUACCGGUGAAAUGCGUAGAUAUAAGGAAGAACACCCAGUGGCGAAGGCGAUUCUACUUGGACAGUAACUGACGCUGAGGGCGCAAAGCGUGGGGAGCAAACAGGAUUAGAUACCCUGGUAGUCCACGCUGUAAACGAUGAAUACUAGGUGUGGGGGGACUGACCCCCUCCGUGCCGCAGUUAACAUAAUAAGUAUUCCACCUGGGGAGUACGAUCGCAAGGUUGAAACUCAAAGGAAUUGACGGGGGCCCGCACAAGCAGUGGAUUAUGUGGUUUAAUUCGAAGCAACGCGAAGAACCUUACCAGGGCUUGACAUCCAACUAACGAAGUAGAGAUACAUUAGGUGCCCUUCGGGGAAAGUUGAGACAGGUGGUGCAUGGUUGUCGUCAGCUCGUGUCGUGAGAUGUUGGGUUAAGUCCCGCAACGAGCGCAACCCCUAUUGUUAGUUGCUACGCAAGAGCACUCUAGCGAGACUGCCGUUGACAAAACGGAGGAAGGUGGGGACGACGUCAAAUCAUCAUGCCCCUUAUGUCCUGGGCUACACACGUAAUACAAUGGCGUCCAACAAAGGGAAGCAAAGCCGCGAGGCAGAGCAAAUCCCGAAAAGACGUCUCAGUUCGGAUUGCAGGCUGCAACUCGCCUGUAUGAAGUCGGAAUUGCUAGUAAUCGUGGAUCAGCAUGCCACGGUGAAUACGUUCCCGGGCCUUGCACACACCGCCGGUCA